CCUACGGGUGGCAGCAGUGAGGAAUAUUGGUCAAUGGACGAGAGUCUGAACCAGCCAAGUAGCGUGAAGGAUGACUGCCCUAGGGGUUGUAAACUUCUUUUAUAUGGGAAUAAAAUGUUCCACGUGUGGGAUUUUGUCUGUACCAUAUUACUCAGGCACGGCUAACUCCGUGCCCGCAGCCGCGGUAAUACGGAGGAUCCGAGCGUUAUCCGGAUGUAUUGGGUUUAAAGGGAGCGUAGGUGGAUUGUUAAGUCAGUUGUGAAAGUUUGCGGAUCAACCGUAAAAUUGCAGUUGAAACUAGCAGUCUUGAGUACAGUAGAGGUGAGCGGAAUUCGUGGUGUAGCGGUGAAAUGCUUAGAUAUCACGAAGAACUCCGAUUGCGAAGGCAGCUCACUGGACUGCAACUGACACUGAGGCUCGAAAGUGUGGGUAGCAAACAGGAUUAGAUACCCCUGUAGUC
rnacentral:rRNA from 1 species